UACGGAGGGAGCUAGCGUUGUUCGGAAUUACUGGGCGUAAAGCGCGCGUAGGCGGCUUUGUAAGUUAGGGGUGAAAGCCUGGAGCUCAACUUCAGAAUUGCCUUUAAGACUGCAUCGCUUGAAUCCAGGAGAGGUGAGUGGAAUUCCGAGUGUAGAGGUGAAAUUCGUAGAUAUUCGGAAGAACACCAGUGGCGAAGGCGACUUACUGGACACAUAUUGACGCUGAGGUGCGAAAGCGUGGGGAGCAAACAGG
rnacentral:rRNA from 1 species